rnacentral:rRNA from 1 species
UCGAGAAUCUUUCACAAUGGGCGAAAGCCUGAUGGAGCGACGCCGCGUGGAGGAUGAAGGCCUUCGGGUUGUAAACUCCUGUCAUGAGGGAACAAGAAAGUGAUAGUACCUCAAGAGGAAGAGACGGCUAACUCUGUGCCAGCAGCCGCGGUAAUACAGAGGUCUCAAGCGUUGUUCGGAUUUACUGGGCGUAAAGCGCGUGUAGGCGGAUUUGUAAGUUGGGGGUGAAAUCCCGAGGCUCAACCUCGGAACUGCCUCCAAAACUACAAGUCUGGACCUAAGUAGAGGCAAGUGGAAUUGCGAGUGUAGAGGUGAAAUUCGUAGAUAUUCGCAGGAACACCAGUGGCGAAGGCGACUUGCUGGACUUAUGGUGACGCUGAGACGCGAAAGCGUGGGGAGCAAACAGGAUUAGAUACCCAUGUAGUCCCUGAGCGGGCUGGCAAGGCGCAU